rnacentral:rRNA from 1 species
UACGUAGGUGGCAAGCGUUGUCCGGAUUUACUGGGCGUAAAGAGCGCGCAGGCGGUCGUUCAAGUCGCGUGUGAAAGCCCCCGGCUCAACUGGGGAGGGUCACGCGAUACUGAUCGACUGGAAGGCAGGAGAGGGUAGUGGAAUUCCCGGUGUAGCGGUGAAAUGCGCAGAUAUCAGGAAGAACACCCGUGGCGAAGGCGGCUCUCUGGGACGGUACUGACGCUGAGACGCGAAAGCGUGGGGAGCGAACAGG